rnacentral:rRNA from 1 species
GCCGGGUACGGGCGGGCUGGAGUGCGGUAGGGGAGACUGGAAUUCCCGGUGUAACGGUGGAAUGUGUAGAUAUCGGGAAGAACACCAAUGGCGAAGGCAGGUCUCUGGGCCGUUACUGACGCUGAGGAGCGAAAGCGUGGGGAGCGAACAGGAUUAGAUACCCUGGUAGUCCACGCCGUAAACGGUGGAUGCUGGAUGUGGGGCCCGUUCCACGGGUUCCGUGUCGGAGCUAACGCGUUAAGCAUCCCGCCUGGGGAGUACGGCCGCAAGGCUAAAACUCAAAGAAAUUGACGGGGGCCCGCACAAGCGGCGGAGCAUGCGGAUUAAUUCGAUGCAACGCGAAGAACCUUACCUGGGCUUGACAUGUUCCCGACAGCCGUAGAGAUAUGGCCUCCCUUCGGGGCGGGUUCACAGGUGGUGCAUGGUCGUCGUCAGCUCGUGUCGUGAGAUGUUGGGUUAAGUCCCGCAACGAGCGCAACCCUCGCCCUGUGUUGCCAGCACGUCAUGGUGGGAACUCACGGGGGACCGCCGGGGUCAACUCGGAGGAAGGUGGGGAUGACGUCAGAUCAUCAUGCCCCUUACGUCCAGGGCUUCACGCAUGCUACAAUGGCCGGUACAACGGGAUGCGAC